rnacentral:rRNA from 1 species
UUAAGCGACUAAGCGUACACGGUGGAUGCCCUGGCAGUCAGAGGCGAUGAAGGACGUGCUAAUCUGCGAUAAGCGUCGGUAAGGUGAUAUGAACCGUUAUAACCGGCGAUUUCCGAAUGGGGAAACCCAGUGUGUUUCGACACACUAUCAUUAACUGAAUCCAUAGGUUAAUGAGGCGAACCGGGGGAACUGAAACAUCUAAGUACCCCGAGGAAAAGAAAUCAACCGAGAUUCCCCCAGUAGCGGCGAGCGAACGGGGAGGAGCCCAGAGCCUGAAUCAGUAUGUGUGUUAGUGGAAGCGUCUGGAAAGGCGCGCGAUACAGGGUGACAGCCCCGUACACAAAAAUGCACAUGCUGUGAGCUCGAUGAGUAGGGCGGGACACGUGGUAUCCUGUCUGAAUAUGGGGGGACCAUCCUCCAAGGCUAAAUACUCCUGACUGACCGAUAGUGAACCAGUACCGUGAGGGAAAGGCGAAAAGAACCCCGGCGAGGGGAGUGAAAAAGAACCUGAAACCGUGUACGUACAAGCAGUGGGAGCACGCUUAGGCGUGUGACUGCGUACCUUUUGUAUAAUGGGUCAGCGACUUAUAUUCUGUAGCAAGGUUAACCGAAUAGGGGAGCCGAAGGGAAACCGAGUCUUAACUGGGCGUUAAGUUGCAGGGUAUAGACCCGAAACCCGGUGAUCUAGCCAUGGGCAGGUUGAAGGUUGGGUAACACUAACUGGAGGACCGAACCGACUAAUGUUGAAAAAUUAGCGGAUGACUUGUGGCUGGGGGUGAAAGGCCAAUCAAACCGGGAGAUAGCUGGUUCUCCCCGAAAGCUAUUUAGGUAGCGCCUCGUGAAUUCAUCUCCGGGGGUAGAGCACUGUUUCGGCAAGGGGGUCAUCCCGACUUACCAACCCGAUGCAAACUGCGAAUACCGGAGAAUGUUAUCACGGGAGACACACGGCGGGUGCUAACGUCCGUCGUGAAGAGGGAAACAACCCAGACCGCCAGCUAAGGUCCCAAAGUCAUGGUUAAGUGGGAAACGAUGUGGGAAGGCCCAGACAGCCAGGAUGUUGGCUUAGAAGCAGCCAUCAUUUAAAGAAAGCGUAAUAGCUCACUGGUCGAGUCGGCCUGCGCGGAAGAUGUAACGGGGCUAAACCAUGCACCGAAGCUGCGGCAGCGACGCUUAUGCGUUGUUGGGUAGGGGAGCGUUCUGUAAGCCUGUGAAGGUGUGCUGUGAGGCAUGCUGGAGGUAUCAGAAGUGCGAAUGCUGACAUAAGUAACGAUAAAGCGGGUGAAAAGCCCGCUCGCCGGAAGACCAAGGGUUCCUGUCCAACGUUAAUCGGGGCAGGGUGAGUCGACCCCUAAGGCGAGGCCGAAAGGCGUAGUCGAUGGGAAACAGGUUAAUAUUCCUGUACUUGGUGUUACUGCGAAGGGGGGACGGAGAAGGCUAUGUUGGCCGGGCGACGGUUGUCCCGGUUUAAGCGUGUAGGCUGGUUUUCCAGGCAAAUCCGGAAAAUCAAGGCUGAGGCGUGAUGACGAGGCACUACGGUGCUGAAGCAACAAAUGCCCUGCUUCCAGGAAAAGCCUCUAAGCAUCAGGUAACAUCAAAUCGUACCCCAAACCGACACAGGUGGUCAGGUAGAGAAUACCAAGGCGCUUGAGAGAACUCGGGUGAAGGAACUAGGCAAAAUGGUGCCGUAACUUCGGGAGAAGGCACGCUGAUAUGUAGGUGAAGUCCCUUGCGGAUGGAGCUGAAAUCAGUCGAAGAUACCAGCUGGCUGCAACUGUUUAUUAAAAACACAGCACUGUGCAAACACGAAAGUGGACGUAUACGGUGUGACGCCUGCCCGGUGCCGGAAGGUUAAUUGAUGGGGUCAGCGCAAGCGAAGCUCUUGAUCGAAGCCCCGGUAAACGGCGGCCGUAACUAUAACGGUCCUAAGGUAGCGAAAUUCCUUGUCGGGUAAGUUCCGACCUGCACGAAUGGCGUAAUGAUGGCCAGGCUGUCUCCACCCGAGACUCAGUGAAAUUGAACUCGCUGUGAAGAUGCAGUGUACCCGCGGCAAGACGGAAAGACCCCGUGAACCUUUACUAUAGCUUGACACUGAACAUUGAGCCUUGAUGUGUAGGAUAGGUGGGAGGCUUUGAAGUGUGGACGCCAGUCUGCAUGGAGCCGACCUUGAAAUACCACCCUUUAAUGUUUGAUGUUCUAACGUUGACCCGUAAUCCGGGUUGCGGACAGUGUCUGGUGGGUAGUUUGACUGGGGCGGUCUCCUCCUAAAGAGUAACGGAGGAGCACGAAGGUUGGCUAAUCCUGGUCGGACAUCAGGAGGUUAGUGCAAUGGCAUAAGCCAGCUUGACUGCGAGCGUGACGGCGCGAGCAGGUGCGAAAGCAGGUCAUAGUGAUCCGGUGGUUCUGAAUGGAAGGGCCAUCGCUCAACGGAUAAAAGGUACUCCGGGGAUAACAGGCUGAUACCGCCCAAGAGUUCAUAUCGACGGCGGUGUUUGGCACCUCGAUGUCGGCUCAUCACAUCCUGGGGCUGAAGUAGGUCCCAAGGGUAUGGCUGUUCGCCAUUUAAAGUGGUACGCGAGCUGGGUUUAGAACGUCGUGAGACAGUUCGGUCCCUAUCUGCCGUGGGCGCUGGAGAACUGAGGGGGGCUGCUCCUAGUACGAGAGGACCGGAGUGGACGCAUCACUGGUGUUCGGGUUGUCAUGCCAAUGGCACUGCCCGGUAGCUAAAUGCGGAAGAGAUAAGUGCUGAAAGCAUCUAAGCACGAAACUUGCCCCGAGAUGAGUUCUCCCUGACUCCUUGAGAGUCCUGAAGGAACGUUGAAGACGACGACGUUGAUAGGCCGGGUGUGUAAGCGCAGCGAUGCGUUGAGCUAACCGGUACUAAUGAACCGUGAGGCUUAACCUU